rnacentral:sRNA from 1 species
GCUUGUCUCCUGCGAGAGCCGCGGGGGCCGCGGAGCUGGAGCCGGAGCUGAAGCCUGAGCCGGGCUGGAGUCGGGGCGGGGGCCGGGCCGGAGCGGGCUCCAGAGACAUGGGGUCGACCGACUCCAAGCUGAACUUCCGGAAGGCGGUGAUCCAGCUCACCACCAAGACGCAGCCCGUGGAAGCCACCGAUGAUGCCUUUUGGGACCAGUUCUGGGCCGACACAGCCACCUCGGUGCAGGAUGUGUUUGCACUGGUGCCGGCAGCAGAGAUCCGGGCCGUGCGGGAAGAGUCACCCUCCAACUUGGCCACCCUGUGCUACAAGGUGAGGGCUGCCCAGUCCCUCGCUGCCACUCUUCCACCCUCCCAGCCCACAGCAGGAGAAGGCAGGCACAUCCAGGGCCUCCCGCCCCACAGGGGCAGGCAGCACUGUGGCCUCACUCAGCUCUUCCACUUCUCUCUCUCUGGUUCUCCUCGCUGGGCGGAGGGACCAUGGCAGCCGCCAUUUAUGGAGGAGUCCUCCAGGCCACAUCUAACUGAGCACCUUCCACAGAUCAGUUCAUUUAGCUCCCUCUGUGGGGUGGGUACUGCCAGUGUCGCCAGUUUACAGAUAGGGAAACAGAGGCUGGGAGACUCACUUAGCAAGGCCUCAGCCAUCCAGUGGCUAGCUGGGCCCUGGCUGUCCUGAUGCUCCAAGCUGCUCUGGCCUGUGUCCCAGUCCCCCCAGGCUGGCCGACCCCAACUCCAGGUGGCUCCUCUGCCUGUGCCCCCACUGUCUCUCCUCUGCAGCCUGGGUGCCCACCCUGACCCCAAGUGCCAGGGUCCUCUCCCCACCUUCCAGCCUGCCCCUCUGCUCCUGCCUGCCCCCACAGGCCGUUGAGAAGCUGGUGCAGGGAGCCGAGAGUGGCUGCCACUCGGAGAAGGAGAAGCAGAUCGUCCUGAACUGCAGCCGGCUGCUCACCCGCGUGCUCCCCUACAUCUUUGAGGACCCUGACUGGAGGGGCUUCUUCUGGUCCACAGUGCCCGGGGCAGGGCGAGGAGGGGUCUGUGGGCCUGGCCAGGGCUGGGUGGGAGGCAGAGUUGGCGUCACAGGGAGAACGCCCUUUAGGGCCGGCCAUGCUCCUCCAAGCCUCUUCUGGGAUUUGGGAAAUACAGGGGUGGGGCCGGUGGGUGCUGCUGAGGGAUGGUGUUCAACGCCACCUCCUUGGGCCCUCAGUUCCCCUCCCAUGGGGGUUUCUGUGCCCACAGUCCAGAGGAAGUAGGGUGUGGAGAGAAGCUGAGAGCCAGGGGUCGCUGGGCAGAGGUGGAGGCAGAGGAGCUGGGCCCUCUGAGGGCCGGAGAGGGACCAUACUGUCCUCUGUCCCCCACACCACCUGCCCUGGGUUUAUGUCCAGGUGAGGUGCCGAGGGAUGCAACACAGCGAUUCCUAGCAGGGCUGAGACUCUUGAUGUUGGGGGUCACCACCCGGCCCCCUCCAGUCAGUAGGGGAGAUUCCCUCGCUGUUCCCGGCCCGGCUCCCUGCUCUGUCCCACUUCUGCCUUGGGAGGUUUGGGGCAACCAGGAGUCCACUUCCUAUCCCUUCAUUCCUCUGCCCAUGGGUGCCCGCCUGGGCUCAGCCCCUGUCCUCCACCGCUCCCCAAGCCCUGGGCCACCUCUUCCUGGCCAGCUAUCACUGAGGCAGCCUGUGGGUGCUGUGUCCCCAGCAGGGAGAAGAGGAUGAUGAGAAUGCCAGGCCCCUGGCCGAGUCCCUGCUCCUGGCCAUUGCUGACCUGCUCUUCUGCCCGGACUUCACGGUUCAGAGCCACCGGAGGAGCACUGUGGACUCGGCGGAGGACGUCCACUCCCUGGACAGCUGUGAAUACAUCUGGGAGGCUGGUGUGGGCUUCGCUCACUCCCCCCAGCCUAACUACAUCCACGAUAUGAACCGGAUGGAGCUGCUGAAACUGCUGCUGACAUGCUUCUCCGAGGCCAUGUACCUGCCCCCGGCUCUGGAAAGUGGCAGCACCAACCCAUGGGUUCAGUUCUUUUGUUCCACGGAGAACAGGUGAGGGCCCUUGGCCUUUCUGCCGCUCUCUUCCCUCUUACUCCAGGCAACCCAGAGCUGAGGCCAUUCGCCAGCCCUGGGUCUCGUUUGAGGGGAGGUGCUGCCCCCUGGUGGUAAUGAACUUUAACUUACCAGCCACAUCUUACACCAGCCCCUUCAGUCUGUCCUUGGAGUCCUGGACAGGACAGAAUCUGGGAGCCCCUCAGUGCUCCGUGCCUGGGUCCUCCAUCAAGAGCCGCCUGUCCAGUAGAAAUAGGAUGCAAGCCACGAGUGCAAUUUU